rnacentral:rRNA from 1 species
GACGAACGCUGGCGGCGUGCCUAACACAUGCAAGUCGAGCGGAGACAGUGAGUAGCUUGCUAUGAGCUGUUUUAGCGGCGGACGGGUGAGUAACGCGUGAGCAACCUUUCCCAGACAGGGGAAUAACACACCGAAAGGUGUACUAAUACCGCAUAAGACCACGGUUUCACAUGGAACUGGGGUAAAAGAUUUAUCGGUUUGGGGUGGGCUCGCGUCCGAUUAGGUAGUUGGUGAGGUAACGGCCCACCAAGCCGACGAUCGGUAGCCGACCUGAGAGGGUGAUCGGCCACAUUGGGACUGAGACACGGCCCAAAACUCCUACGGGAGGCAGCAGUGGGGAAUAUUGGGCAAUGGAGGAAACUCUGACCCAGCAACGCCGCGUGGAGGAAGAAAGGUUUUCGGAUCGUAAACUACCUGUCCUUGGAGACGAGUAGAA